GCUGGGCACAGUGGGGCACGUCUACAGUCCCAGCUACUUGGGAGGCUGAGGCAGGAAAAUCCUUAAUCCCAAGAGUUCUGAGCUGUAGUGCUCAAUGCCGAUUUGGUAUUUUCACUAUGUUUUGCAUCAAUAUGGUUGACCUCCUGGGAGUGGCAUAAGGAGGAGUGAAGUGGAGCAGGUCAAAAUUCCUGUGCUGAUCAAGAGUGGGAUCAUGUUUCUGAAUAGACACUGCACUCCAGCCUUGGCAACACAGCCAGACCCCAUCUCCU
ensembl:misc_RNA Metazoa_SRP Metazoan signal recognition particle RNA